UGCAAUGAUGUCAUAAUUUGCGUCUUACUCUGUUCUCAGUGACAGUUGCCUGUGGUCAGUAAUCUGGUUCAGAAGGAUAACGAAAAUUCUUACUGAGCA
ensembl:snoRNA SNORD16 Small nucleolar RNA SNORD16